AUUGAACGCUGGCGGCAGGCCUAACACAUGCAAGUCGAACGAGUGGCGGACGGGUGAGUAAUGUCAGGGAAACUGCCAGAUGGAGGGGGAUAAUUACGGGAAACGGUAGCUAAUACCGCAUAACAUCAGAUGUGCUCAGAUGGGAUUAGCUAGUUGGUGGGGUAACGGCUCACCAAGGCGACGAGCCCUAGCUGGUCUGAGAGGAUGACCAGCCACACUGCAACUGAGCUCCGGUCCAGACUCCUACGGGAGACAGCAGUGAGGAAUAUUGCCCAAUGGGCGCAAGCCUUAUUCAGCCAUGCCGCUUGUAUGACGCAGGCCUUCGGGUUGUAAAGUUCUUUCAGCGGGGAGGCGUUACCCGCAGAAGAAGCACCGGCUAACUCCGUGCCAGCAGCCGCGGUAAUAC
rnacentral:rRNA from 1 species